UUUUUUUAUAUAGCUCCAAAAGCUAAUACUGGUGCUAGCAUUCUAUACGCUAUAACCGCCAGAAUAAAUAAACAAAGCCUCGCGAAGAGAAACAUCCUACUAGCAGGCAAAAAAAGUCAACUGAAAAUAGAAAAGUAGCGGUGAGCGAAAUUCUAAAAAGCUAAAGCGCUGGGUGCAAAAUUUUAAAAUGAAUUUAUAACUCAACCUAAGAAGGUAUUAGUCCUGUUUUUAAUAAACCAUAGCCAACGCAUUAAAGUAACCCGCAAAAUGUAAUUAUGCGGCUGAAGAUAGCAGAGUCAACUGCUAAAGCUAAAGAUACUUUUGUUGAUAGUGUAUAGUAUUGUGAAAGAACGGUGAAAAUUUAUCAAUUUUAGAAGUGAAAUAUCAAUGAAACUUAGCGUAAAAAUCUAUUAAAGCUUUAAUAGCUAUAAUGUACCUUUUGCAUAAUGGACUAGUGACUAAAUAAAUUAAGCAAGCUUUAUACAAGCGCUUUUAAUAAAAAGUAACUACUUAAAGUUUAAUUUAUUUUACCCGAAGCUAAUCGAUCUAAUUAUGGAUAGGCUGAUAAGAAAUUUAAGGGCCGAACCCGUGAAUGUUGCAAUAUUCUGGGAUAAUCUGUAGUUAGGGGUGAAAGGCCAACCAAGAUUAGUGAUAGCUGGUUCUCCGCGAAAUUUAUUUAAGUAAAGCAGUUAAAGAUACUUUGUUAAGGUAAAGUAAAUUAUAUUAUAUAUGGCUAAUAAGCUACAUAACUAAUUAAAUAACUUAUAAUGUAACAAAAUUAAAUUUAACUAGUGAGACUUAUUGCGCUAAGGUAAUAAGUCGAGAGGGAAACAGCCCAGAUUGAAUAAUAAGGUGCCAAAUAACAUUCAAUUAUUAAAGUCUAUUAAUCUAGCCACCUAAAAGAUAAGCUUGGAAGCAGCUACUCAUUAAAGAAAGAGUAAAAUCUCAUUAGUUAGGUAAAGUUUAAAGCAUAAAUAAACUAUCAGAUUAACGGUCUAAUAAUGUAUAGGCUAUAAAAUGUUAACCGAAUUAGCAAAAAGUAAACAUACUUUGGUAGCGGAGUUACCUGUAAACUUAUUAAGGUUAAUUGAAAAAUUAACUGGUUAGUACCAGGUUAAAUAAUACUAGUAACAGUAACGUAAAACUAUUUAUAGUAGUCGCCAUAAAUCCUAGAAUUUCAUUUUAAAGUAAGUCUUAAAUGAUAGAUACGGUCUCUAAAAAACAAGGUAAACCUGUAAGUUCAAUGAGAAUCUUUGCUUAGUAUGACGUUAAAUAACUUAAACUUAAACGAUAUUUACAGCGUAGUUUAAAUAACCUAACUAAAAAACACUCAAGCAAGCUUUUCCUUAGCUGAAAAGCAAAAAGAAAGUUAAACCGGUAGGUUUGUACUUUCUCAAAACCGUAUUAAAACUGACACUAGUGGAUGAGUAGAAUAUACUAAGGCGAUAGAAGAAUAUAACUGAAGGAACUCGGCAAAUUGUCUCUGUAACUUCGGGAUAAAGAGAGCUAUAUAGCGUCAUAAAAUAGAGAGCGGCGACUGUUUAUCAAAAACUCAGGACUUUGCUAAAUUUAAUAAUGAUGUAUAAAGUCUGACACCUGCCCAGUGCUUGAUAGUUAAAAUUAGUUAGUGUUAGCUAACUAAAUAAGCUAGAGUAAACGGCGGCUGUAACUCUGACGGUCCGAAGGUAGCGAAAUUCAUUGGCGGGUAAGUUCCGUCCUGCAUGAAUGGUGUAACGACUGCUCUACUGUCUCCAGUUAUAAUCUAGUGAACCCGAAUACUAGGUGAAAAUGCCUCGAUAGAACAGCGGGACGGAAAGACCCCGUGCACCUUUACUAGAACCUUGUAUUACUAUAAGAAUUUUUGUAAAUUACAGUAGAAUUAAAUUCAUUUUAACUGUGAAUAUUAAAAUCUUUAGUUUAAAAUUUAAUAAAUGAAAUCAAAUUUUAAAUUGCAAGGAUGCUAGUUUCACUGGGGCGGUGGCCUCCUAAAAAGUAACGGGGGUGUGCAAUGGUUUUGUGAAGCACGCGUGCUGUGCGAGCAUUAUAAUGAAUCAAACUUAACCUAAUUAAUUAAUUGACAAGUUAAUUAAAAGUAAAAAUUAAAAACUUUUUACUUGCCAUAGUGACCCGAUAGAUUUUUCUUGACAAAUCUAUCGAUUAACGAAUAAAAGGUACGCCGGGGAUAA
rnacentral:rRNA from 1 species